UUACGGCCAUAUCGCGUCGAAACAUCAGUUCCCCUACGAUCACCGAAGUUAAGCAACGACGUGCCUGAUCAGUAAGGAGAUCGGUAACCGCUUGGAAAUACCAGGUGGUGUA